UGGGGAAUAUUGCACAAUGGGCGCAAGCCUGAUGCAGCAACGCCGCGUGAACGAUGAAGGUCUUCGGAUCGUAAAGUUCUGUUGCAGGGGAAGAUAAUGACGGUACCCUGUGAGGAAGCCCCGGCUAACUACGUGCCAGCAGCCGCGGUAAUACGUAGGGGGCUAGCGUUAUCCGGAUUUACUGGGCGUAAAGGGUGCGUAGGUGGUCCUUCAAGUCGGUGGUUAAAGGCUACGGCUCAACCGUAGUAAGCCGCCGAAACUGGAGGACUUGAGUGCAGGAGAGGAAAGUGGAAUUCCCAGUGUAGCGGUGAAAUGCGUAGAUAUUGGGAGGAACACCAGUAGCGAAGGCGGCUUUCUGGACUGCAACUGACACUGAGGCACGAAAGCGUGUGUAGCAAACAGG
rnacentral:rRNA from 1 species